GGAAACUGCUGUGAAGAGGUUGGCGAGGGAAUAGGAGGCAUCCCUCCCCUGGGAAAAAUAUUAUGCCCAGGUGGGAAUAUGGAGCAUUCAAACAGGGAGAUGCUGUAACUGGGGGAUGAGAAGGCCUUUGACAAGGUGCCACACUGUGGUGAACUACAUACACCUGUCUGGACACGUCCCCCGCUGGCUCCUCCCACAGACCCUGGUAUAAAGGUGAUUGGAGGCACAGACCCUUCCUCAGUCUCCAGAAUGUUGUGUGGUGGUCACUUGCUGCUUGUGCUU